CCCCAGCCGCCGAGUCCCGCGCACAGCCGCCCCCUCGGGCGGCCUCCGCGGCGGCGGCGGCGAGGGCGAGGUGUCGCUGGCCUCGGGGAAGCCCUCCUAGGGGCCGGUUGCCGGCAGCGCAGCGUCCGCAGGGCGAGCGCGGAGCGGCCGGCCCACGGAGAGGACAGCCUCCCCCGUGGGCACCAGAGCGGGCGGCAGGGGUGCGUAAAGGCGGGAAGGGCAACCUCCCGUCAUCGGGCGGCUGCCGCUCUCCGACCCCCCGCCCCCGGUGCCGGUGGGUAGAAGGGCUUCGUGUCUGACAAGUUUCCGUCUGCCCGCGCCAGCGGGAGCCGCUGUGAGGCGAAAACAACGGCGGCGAGGCAGAAGGCCUCGGACCGGCAAGCGCACGUUUCAGGGACAGACCUUGCCUCGUUCAGCCGCGGCUGCAGCGUGGAAAACUCACACAAGCAUCUACUGCAGUGACACUGAAAACUUCCUGCAAACAGGGAAAGGAAACAAACUGUGAAAUAAAAAUGUUCUGAUGCCUCCCAGAUACAAUCACUUAAUAUACUACCAAUAUCCAUACCACUUAAAAGACCAGGAGUGUAGCGUAUCACGUUGGUUGUGAUCACUGCAUAUCUAAGACUCUGCUCAUCAAGAUCUCUGUGGACAGAACACUGCAAAUGCAAAGAAUCCUACUGAAAUAGAUGGGAAAUCCUUAUAUUGUUAAGUUUCAACAUUUUGUCAGGGUCGGGUUUAUCUGGACCUGCAAAACUUGCCAGACUCUUGUCUAAUAAAGCACACCAUCAGUUGA